AACGAACGCUGGCGGCAGGCUUAACACAUGCAAGUCGAACGGUUGUAGCAAUACAGCAGUGGCGCACGGGUGAGUAACGCGUGGAUAUCUGCCUUUUGGUUCGGAAUAACUCCGGGAAACUGGAGCUAAUACCGGAUGGUUCCUGCGGGAUAAAGAUUUAUCGCCAAUAGAUGAGUCCGCGUACGAUUAGCUAGUUGGUGAGGUAAUGGCUCACCAAGGCGACGAUCGUUAGCUGGUCUGAGAGGACGAUCAGCCACACUGGGACUGAGACACGGCCCAGACUCCUACGGGAGGCAGCAGUGGGGAAUAUUGGACAAUGGGGGCAACCCUGAUCCAGCCAUGCCGCGUGAGUGAUGAAGGCCUUCGGUUGUAAAGCUCUUUGGUCGGGGACGAUGAUGACGGUACCCGCAGAAUAAGCCCCGGCUAACUUCGUGCCAGCAGCCGCGGUAA
rnacentral:rRNA from 1 species